AACGAACGCUGGCGGCAGGCCUAACACAUGCAAGUCGAGCGGACAGUCCGGGGUCAUCCGCGGCUGGCUGUGUCACGCGUGGGAAUAUGCACUCGUCUAUGGCAUAGUCCUGGGAAACUGAGAGCAAUACCGUACCCGACCUAUUGGCGGAAGAUAUAUCGAGGCAGUAUUAGCCCGAGUUGGAUUCGGUAGUUGGUGCGGUUAUGGCCUACCAAGCCGCCGAUCCACAGCUGGGUUGAGAGAAUGCUCAGCCACACUGGGAGUGAGACACGGCCCGGACUCCUACGGGAUGCAGCAGUGGGGAAUCGUAGACAAUGGGGGCAACCCUGAUGUAGCCAUGCCGCGUGAGUGAUGAAGGCAUUAGGGUUGUAAAGCUCUUUCAGCUAGGAAGAUAAUGACGGUACCAACAGAAGAAGCCCCGGCUAACUCCGUG
rnacentral:rRNA from 1 species